GUGUGAGAGGAUUAGAGUCCUUCUCAUGGAAGGAUCUAAUCCCAAUUUUUGAUGCCAAUUAACUUCUCUCCUUUAUCUUGUUGCAUGCCAUUUUUGAAGAAUUUUAAUGAGAUUGAAAUACCAAAUUGGCAUGGAGAUAAAGUGGAUAAUGUUUGGCGCAUGGGUAUGGCACAUGACACUUAAUUUUGGCGUACAGAUGGGUUAAGAGUCCUUCUGCACGUUAAUCACCUUUUUGGGAUAAGGAUUAUAGGGCCAAGAUUUAAUCUUCACCUUUGGUUGAGUGAUUUGACCAAGUUAAAAGACAUUUGGAGGGCCA
rnacentral:lncRNA from 1 species